AGAGUUUGAUUAUGGCUCAGGAUGAACGCUGGCGGCGUGCUUAACACAUGCAAGUCGAACGAAGCAUAAGAAUCGGAAUUCUCGGAAGGAAGAGUCUUAUGACUGAGUGGCGGACGGGUGAGUAACGCGUGGGUAACCUACCUCAUACAGGGGGAUAACAGUUAGAAAUGACUGCUAAUACCGCAUAAGCGCACAGUACUGCAUAGUACAGUGUAGAAAAACUCCGGUGGUAUGAGAUGGACCCGCGUCUGAUUAGCUAGUUGGUAAGGUAACGGCUUACCAAGGCGACGAUCAGUAGCCGACCUGAGAGGGUGAUCGGCCACAUUGGGACUGAGACACGGCCCAAACUCCUACGGGAGGCAGCAGUGGGGAAUAUUGCACAAUGGGGGAAACCCUGAUGCAGCGACGCCGCGUGAAGGAUGAAGUAUUUCGGUAUGUAAACUUCUAUCAGCAGGGAAGAAAAUGACGGUACCUGACUAAGAAGCCCCGGCUAACUACGUGCCAGCCGCCGC
rnacentral:rRNA from 1 species